CCUACGGGAGGCAGCAGUGGGGAAUAUUGGGCAAUGGGCGAAGGCCUGACCCAGCAACGCCGCGUGAGGGAAGAAGGUUUUCGGAUCGUAAACCUCUGUCCUUGGUGAAGAGGAAGAGACGGUAGCCAAGGAGGAAGCCCCGGCUAACUACGUGCCAGCAGCCGCGGUAAU
rnacentral:rRNA from 1 species